GUGUGCCAGGUGGUGCCAGUGCCAGCUAAUCACCUGCCUGUUGGCAGCACCGUGAACACUGUGCACCUGUCUUCAGAUGGCACUUAAAGCAGAGAAGCCUGCUGUGUAGCUGUGGGAGUCAUCAGAGAGGUGGCAGUGGAGGUUUGUUAUCGACCCAAUCAUUACAUCGCUACCCAAGAGUUGGAAACUUCCUGUGUUGCCCACGCUGGUCUCAAACUCCUGGACUCAUGGGAUCCUCCCACCUUGGCCUCCCAAAGCAGUGGUAUUACAGGCAUGAGCCAUUGCACUGGGCUCCUGUUUAGUUUUAAUUUUAAAACACCUCAAGAGUCAGAUAAUUCAGGGAAAGACCAUGCAAGGCUGUUACUGAAGAAAGUGCUACGAGUCUGUUCUAGACAUGGCUUGCCUAGCACUGAGCAUCCUUCCUCACUUCUAAGUGAGAAUUUUCCAGAUCUGUGCAUUGGGGUCCCCCAAGAAAGAGGCUCAGUCCUGAUGUACUGUUUCCUGUAUACUGCAUGCUCACCCCCCAAAACCACAUGGUUAAUCCAGAUCCAGCCCCUGCUUUCUUAGUUAUGAGGCUUCUCAUGGCAAAGCAAUAAAAAGCAAGUUUUCAAUGAUA